ACGUUUCGACGGUACGCUAAUACCGCAUACGUCCUACGGGGGAAAGCAGGGGACCUUAGGUAAAGCGCUAUCAGAUGAGCCUAGGUCGGAUUAGCUAGUUGGCCUUCGGAAUGGCUCACCAAGGCGACGAUCCGUAACUGGUCUGAGAGGAUGAUCAGUCACACUGGAACUGAGACACGGUCCAGACUCCUACGGGAGGCAGCAGUGGGGAAUAUUGGACAAUGGGCGAAAGCCUGAUCCAGCCAUGCCGCGUGUGUGAAGAAGGUCUUCGGAUUGUAAAGCACUUUAAGUUGGGAGGAAGGGCAGUAAGUUAAUACCUUGCUGUUUUGACGUUACUGACAGAAUAAGCACCGGCUAACUCUGUGCCAGCAGCCGCGGUAAUACAGAGGGUGCAAGCGUUAAUCGGAAUUACUGGGCGUAAAGCGCGCGUAGGUGGUUCGUUAAGUUGGAUGUGAAAGCCCCGGGCUCAACCUGGGAACUGCAUCCAAAACUGGCGAGCUAGAGUACGGUAGAGGGUGGUGGAAUUUCCUGUGUAGCGGUGAAAUGCGUAGAUAUAGGAAGGAACACCAGUGA
rnacentral:rRNA from 1 species